rnacentral:rRNA from 1 species
UACGGAGGGGGCAAGCGUUGUUCGGAAUUAUUGGGCGUAAAGAGCUCGUAGGCGGUCUGUCGCGUCUGCUGUGAAAACUCAGGGCUUAACCCUGAGCUUGCAGUGGGUACGGGCAGACUAGAGUGCGGUAGGGGAGACUGGAAUUCCUGGUGUAGCGGUGAAAUGCGCAGAUAUCAGGAGGAACACCGAUGGCGAAGGCAGGUCUCUGGGCCACUACUGACGCUGAGAAAGCGGAAAGCAUGGGGAGCAAACAGG